UACGUAGGGUGCGAGCGUUAAUCGGAAUUACUGGGCGUAAAGCGUGCGCAGGCGGUGAUGUAAGACCGAUGUGAAAUCCCCGGGCUUAACCUGGGAACUGCAUCCGAUACUGGAUGGCUUGAAUUCGGGAGAGGGAUGCAGAAUUCCAGGUGUAGCGGUGAAAUGCGUAGAUAUCGGAAGGAACACCAGUGGCGAAAGCGGCUUCCUGGUCCAGCAUCGACGUCAGGCACGAAAGCGUGGGGAGCAAACAGG
rnacentral:rRNA from 1 species